GGAUGGUAUAGUGACAUGGUGGUGACAAAUGUCAACCCACUAAUCUCCAGAUUUGAUGUGACAUUCCCUUCACUGAUCCAUUUACAUUUCUCCUGAUGUUGCAUGCUCAUUUAAAGAGUGUGAACUUUUCUCACAGAGGACCACUUUUAUCCCAAAGAGGAGACAGUUCUUUUGGUCAAGGGUAUAGUAAUACUUGUGUGCUCUCUCUAGAAAUUCCAAAGAACCUUGCAAACAAACCAGGAAUUAAAAGAAAAAUUCAACAUCAUGAAUAAUCACUGG
rnacentral:snRNA from 1 species